rnacentral:rRNA from 1 species
GAUAAACGCUAGCGGCAGGCCUAACACAUGCAAGUCGAGGGGCAGCGUAAUGUUUAGUUUACUAAAUAUAGAUGGCGACCGGCGAAUGGGUGCGUAACGCGUAUGCAACCUGCCCUGAACAGGGGGAUAAUCUGGAGAAAUCCGGUCUAAUACCCAUAACACAUUAAAUGGCAUCAUUAAUUGUUAAAAGCUCCGGCGGUUCAGGAUGGGCAUGCGUUGUAUUAGUUAGUUGGUAAGGUAACGGCUUACCAAGACUAUGAUACAUAGGGGGACUGAGAGGGUUGCCCCCCACACUGGUACUGAGACACGGACCAGACUCCUACGGGAGGCAGCAGUGAGGAAUAUUGGUCAAUGGGGGGAACCCUGAUCCAGCAAUGCCGCGUGUGUGAAGAAGGCCUGAGGGUUGUAAAGCACUUUCAGUGGGGAGGAGGUUUGAUUGGUUAAGAGCUGAUUGAAUGGACGUUACCCACAGAAGAAGCACCGGCUAACUCCGUGCCAGCCGCCGCGGUAAGAC